rnacentral:rRNA from 1 species
CCUACGGGAUGCAGCAGUGAGGAAUAUUGGUCAAUGGACGCAAGUCUGAACCAGCCAUGCCGCGUGCAGGAAGACGGCUCUAUGAGUUGUAAACUGCUUUUGUACGAGGGUAAACGCAGAUACGCGUAUCUGUCUGAAAGUAUCGUACGAAUAAGGAUCGGCUAACUCCGUGCCAGCAGCCGCGGUAAUACGGAGGAUUCAAGCGUUAUCCGGAUUUAUUGGGUUUAAAGGGUGCGUAGGCGGUCGGAUAAGUUAGAGGUGAAAUCCCGAGGCUCAACUUCGGAAUUGCCUCUGAUACUGUUAGGCUAGAGAGUAGUUGCGGUAGGCGGAAUGUAUGGUGUAGCGGUGAAAUGCUUAGAGAUCAUACAGAACACCGAUUGCGAAGGCAGCUUACCAAGCUACGUCUGACGUUGAGGCACGAAAGCGUGGGGAGCAAACAGGAUUAGAUACCCGUGUAGUC